rnacentral:rRNA from 1 species
AGCGAACGCUGGCGGCAGGCCUAACACAUGCAAGUCGAACGAACUCUUCGGAGUUAGUGGCGGACGGGUGAGUAACACGUGGGAACGUGCCUUUAGGUUCGGAAUAACUCAGGGAAACUUGUGCUAAUACCGAAUGUGCCCUUCGGGGGAAAGAUUUAUCGCCUUUAGAGCGGCCCGCGUCUGAUUAGCUAGUUGGUGAGGUAAAGGCUCACCAAGGCGACGAUCAGUAGCUGGUCUGAGAGGAUGAUCAGCCACAUUGGGACUGAGACACGGCCCAAACUCCUACGGGAGGCAGCAGUGGGGAAUCUUGCGCAAUGGGCGAAAGCCUAACGCAGCCAUGCCGCGUGAAUGAUGAAGGUCUUAGGAUUGUAAAAUUCUUUCACCGGGGACGAUAAUGACGGUACCCGGAGAAGAAGCCCCGGCUAACUUCGUG